GUUUGUCUACAGCUAGGGCCACUGUCAAGUUACAAGUCCAUGGGGGCACGAGACAAAAGUAUGGAGUCAUAUAUAGCUCUUGGAUAAGGCUACCAACCUCAUAAGGAAGACAGAAAGGAUGUUCAGUCCCAUGGCAUUAUUGCUUUGAAAUAAGGGGUGUUUCUGGAGUGUGGACUCAGUGAAGCCAUUCUUAGCUUUCAUUAACAGUACCUUAUCUCUCUGUCAUUAAGAUGUUCAUCAGCAGUGGU